rnacentral:rRNA from 1 species
UACGUAGGUGACCAGCGUUGUCCGGAUUUACUGGGCGUAAAGAGCGCGCAGGCGGUCGUUCAAGUCGAGUGUGAAAGCCCCCGGCUCAACUGGGGAGGGUCACGCGAUACUGAUCGACUCGAAGGCAGGAGAGGGAAGUGGAAUUCCCGGUGUAGUGGUGAAAUGCGUAGAUAUCGGGAGGAACAUCAGUGGCGAAGGCGGCUGCCUGGCCCAAUACUGACACUCAGGUGCGACAGCGUGGGGAGCAAACAGG